AUUGAACGCUGGCGGCAGGCCUACCACAUGCAAGUCGAGCGAGCGGCGGACGGGUGAGUAAUGUCUGGGAAACUGCCUGAUGGAGGGGGAUAACUACUGGAAACGGUAGCUAUUACCGCAUACCAUCAGAUGUGCCCAGAUGGGCUUAGCAAUUAGGUGGGGUAAUGUCUCACCUAGGCGACGAUCCCUAGCUGGUCUGAGAGGAUGACCGGCCACACUGGAACUGAGACACGGUCCAAACUCCUACGGUAGUCAGCAGUGGGGAAUAUUGCACAAUGGGCGCAAGCCUGAUGCAGCCAUGCCGCGUGUGUGAAGAAGGCCUUCGGGUUGUAAAGCACUUUCAGCGAGGAGGCGUUACUCGCAGAAGAAGCACCGGCUAACUCCGUGCCAGCCGCCGCGGUAAUUC
rnacentral:rRNA from 1 species